AUACGUAGGGGGCAAGCGUUAUCCGGAUUUACUGGGUGUAAAGGGAGCGCAGACGGCUAUGUAAGUCUGAAGUGAAAGCCCGCGGCUCAACCGCGGGACUGCUUUGGAAACUAUGUAGCUUGAGUGUCGGAGAGGUAAGCGGAAUUCCAAGUGUAGCGGUGAAAUGCGUAGAUAUUUGGAAGAACACCGGUGGCGAAGGCGGCUUACUGGACGAUAACUGACGUUGAGGCUCGAAGGCGUGGGGAGCAAACAGGAUUAGAUGCCCUGGUAGUCCACGCGGUAAACGAUGAAUACUAGGUGUCGGUGCCCAAAGGGUAUCGGUGCCGUCGCAAACGCAGUAAGUAUUCCACCUGGGGAGUACGUUCGCAAGAAUGAAACUCAAAUGAAUUGACGGGG
rnacentral:rRNA from 1 species